UGUCAAGUUCGAAAGAGCACACGGUGGAUGCCUUGGCAAUAGGAGCCGAAGAAGGACGUAGUAAUCUGCGAUAAGCCUCGGGGAGUUGAUAAACGAACCCUGAUCCGAGGAUUUCCGAAUGGGGAAACCCGGCUGGACUAGAUUCAGUCACCCUCACCUGAAUAUAUAGGGUGAGCGGAGGGAACGACGGGAAGUGAAACAUCUCAGUACCGUCAGGAAGAGAAAACAACAGUGAUUCCGUUAGUAGUGGCGAGCGAAAGCGGAAGAGGCUAAACCAGUCAUGUGUGAUAGCUGAUAGGCGUUGCAUGGCUGGGGUUGUGGGACUUUUCAGCAGCUCUAUCAGGCUGCAAGAGGAGGAACCAGGAUAGACGAACGACUUUGAACAGUCGGUCAUAGAGGGUGCGAACCCCGUAGUCGAAAUCUUGUCUACCCUCGAGAAGGAUCCCAAGUAGUACGGAACCCGUGAAAUUCUGUGCGAAUCUGCGAGGACCACCUCGUAAGCCUAAAUACUACCUAUUGACCGAUAGCGGACAAGUACCGUGAGGGAAAGGUGAAAAGUACCCCGGGAGGGGAGU
rnacentral:rRNA from 1 species